CUUUAGCUUUGGAUUGGCGGUACGAUUCUUCUGUAUCUUUUUCUUCUUUUUUCUCUUAGAGGAUUGAUGACCUGCACAUGAACCUCCCACUACAUGCACCGGCUCCUUUUGGAGCUGAUGGUCCUUCUCGAACGUCUGCAGCAAUUCUAACAAAUCAUGGUAGUUCACUGCAAGAAGGAUAGAUAGGAUUUCGAUAGUG
rnacentral:lncRNA from 1 species